rnacentral:rRNA from 1 species
UACGUAGGGGGCAAGCGUUGUCCGGAAUCAUUGGGCGUAAAGCGCGUGUAGGCGGCCAGGUAAGUCCGUUCUGAAAGCCCGGGGCUCAACCCCGGGAGGCGGAUGGAUACUGCUUGGCUCGAGUCCGGAAGAGGCGAGUGGAAUUCCCGGUGUAGCGGUGAAAUGCGCAGAUAUCGGGAGGAACACCAAUGGCGAAGGCAGCUCGCUGGGACGGUACUGACGCUGAGACGCGAAAAGCGUGGGGAGCAAACAGGG